AUGUCAGAUACACAAAACUUUAGCAAAAACUGUGUCCAAAGCUGUGACAUAUCUGACACUAAUAAGGAACAUACAAAAGAUGAACCUUUUACAACUUACAAAAGAAUUGGUAAGCUUGAGGAUAUGAUUACUAACUUAGGGUCUGCCUUUUCAUCCGUGAAAAACACUCCAACUCCUCCUAGUAAAUUGGGUAAAUUAGUUUAUGUUCCUAAAAGUAAGGGUGAAUCUUCUAAUAAGGAAAGUGCGGAUCUCAAAUCUAUAAGUGUUCACCCCAGUUUUUGCACUAUCAUUAAGGAACCUUUUGCUACAAGUAAACUUCUUGAUUCUUUGCCUAGAAGUUUAAUCACUACUAAAAAUAAAGAAUUUCCUAAGGAUUACAAGUGCUCUACUUAUGAAUCGAGUGCCAAAGAUGGCACUAGUUAG
rnacentral:rRNA from 1 species